CCAAUAGCGUAUAUUAAAGUUGUUGCAGUUAAAAAGCUCGUAGUUGAAUUUCGGGGUCAGUAGGUUGGUCGUGCCACUGGUAUGCACUGGUCUCACUGAUUCCUCCUUCCUGAUGAACCGUAAUGCCAUUAAUUUGGUGUUGCGGGGAAUCUGGACUGUUACUUUGAAAAAAUUAGAGUGUUUAAAGCAGGCUAACGCUUGAAUACAUUAGCAUGGAAUAAUGAAAUAGGACGAUCGAUCCUAUUUUGUUGGUUUCUAGGAUUGACGUAAUGAUUAAUAGGGAUAGUUGGGGGCAUUAGUAUUCAAUUGUCAGAGGUGAAAUUCUUGGAUUUAUUGAAGACUAACUACUGCGAAAGCAUUUGCCAAGGAUGUUUUCAUUAAUCAAGAACGAAAGUUAGGGGAUCGAAGACGAUCAGAUACCGUCGUAGUCUUAACCAUAAACUAUGCCGACUAGGGAUCGGAUGAUGUUAAUUUUUUAAUGACUCAUUCGGCGCCUUAC
rnacentral:rRNA from 1 species